AGAUUUUUCUUGCUUUGGAGGAUUUAGUGUUCAUUUUCUUUAUCUCCCUCAUUCCUUUGCUCCAGGUUCAACGGUUUCUCCUCUCCCUUAUCUCAACUCUUCCUGAAUGGCUUUCUACAAUAUUGCCUCUUCCAUGAACUUAACAAUAUGGGCUACCAUCGUUUUCUUCUAUAUGUCUAGAUAUGCCUCCACAAGCCUUGCAGAGGAAACGUCUCAACCCUCAUCCCUACAGCUGGAAGCGAAGGCUCUACUAGAUAAUGAGUGGUGGAUAUCCUACACUAUUGAUUACUUGAUUUCAUGGAACAAAGGUCUUGGCUUGAAACUUGCAGUGUGUAUAUUUGUAAUCCAAGCCCUAAUAUCUAAUAUUCCGCUGACCUGUAAAAUGGGUCAGUUUGCUCUUUACAAAUUUCUGCUUACAAUCUUCCUCCUCUUCUCAAUUUCCAAAUCACUGCCCACCGGGAAUGAACGUAGCACCUACAUCAUCCACAUGGACAAAUCAGCAAUGCCAGCUCCCUUCUCUACACACCAUGAUUGGUACAAGUCAACUCUAUCAUCCCUGUCAUCACCAGAUGGCAUUUCCCCAGUCCAUCUCUACUCCUACAAGCAUGUGAUGGAUGGUUUCAGUGCUGUACUCUCACAAACCCACCUUAAUCAACUGGAAAAAUUACCUGGUCAUGUUUCCACCUUCCCAGAAUCAUAUGGCCAUCUCCAUACUACCCAUACUCCACAAUUUCUGGGCCUAAACGCAUACUCUGGAUUGUGGCCAGCAGGCAAGUUUGGUGAUGACAUAAUCAUUGGUGUUCUUGAUAGUGGAAUUUGGCCAGAAAGCGAAAGCUUCAACGAUAGAAACAUGCCUCCAGUGCCACAGCGCUGGCAAGGCAUGUGUGAAACUGGAACUGAAUUUAACACUUCACAUUGCAACAAAAAGCUGAUUGGAGCUCGCAAGUUUAGCCAAGGGAUGAAGCAGUACAGGCUGAAUAUAUCAAACACAAAUGACUAUGAUUCUCCAAGGGAUUUCUUGGGUCAUGGAACCCACACAUCAUCAACUGCAGCUGGGAGCCGAGUGCAAAAUGCUAACUACUUUGGUUACGCUGGAGGCACAGCAACCGGAAUGGCACCAUCAGCCAGGUUAGCUAUGUACAAAGUGGGGUUCUAUAGCAAGGAUAUCCGUGUCAUUGAUGCUGCAGCAACUGAUGUACUUGCUGGAAUGGAUCAAGCAAUUGAAGACGGUGUUGAUAUCAUGUCAUUGUCCUUGGGAUUUAAAGAGACACCAUUCUUUAAGAAUCCAAUAGCCAUAGGAGCAUUUGCAGCCUUGAAGAAAGGGAUAUUUGUUACAUGUUCUGCAGGAAAUUCAGGCCCUCAUGGAUACACCAUGUUCAAUGGAGCUCCUUGGCUCACAACAGUUGGUGCUGGAACUGUUGACCGUGAAUUGGGAGCCCGUGUUACACUUGGAGAUGGGGAUAUUACUGUCACUGGAAUAUCUAUGUAUCCAGAGAAUUUGUUUAUCUCUAGGAUUCCUCUAUAUUUUGGACAUGGAAAUAGAAGAAAGGAACUCUGUGAUUGGAACUCUUUAGAUUCCAAAGAUGUUGCAGGCAAGUUUGUCUUCUGCGACUAUGAUAAUGAAUCAUCAGUGUUUCGAUCUGAAGACAUAUAUGGUACAGAUAUUGCUGGAGCUAUCUUCAGUUCAGCCUAUGGGGAAUUCCAAAGACCUGCUGAAUUUUAUCUGCCAUUUGUGACAGUGAACACAAAAGAUGGAGAUUUAAUAAAGACUUACAUACUCAAUACAACAAACGCAACAGUUAGUGUUAGGUUUGGUAUAACCACACUAGGCACUAAGCCAGCUCCAAAAGUAGCAUAUUUUUCCUCGCGAGGACCCGAUAGGCGAUCCCCAUGGAUUCUGAAACCUGAUAUAUUAGCUCCUGGGCAUCUUAUUUUGGCAGCCUGGGUUCCUAACAGGGGCUUUGCACUGAUUCGUGACGAUGAUUAUUUGCUGACAGAUUAUGCUCUUGUCUCUGGCACAUCAAUGUCAUGCCCCCACACAGCUGGUGUAGCUGCACUGCUCAAAGCUACCCACCGUGACUGGAGCUCAGCUGCCAUCCGAUCAGCUAUGAUGACUACAGCAGAUGUUACAGACAAUGCAAAUGGUAGAAUCAUUGAUAUGACCACCGCAGUCGCUGGUACCCCUCUUGAUUUUGGAGCAGGCCACUUGAAUCCUAACAAGGCCAUGGACCCUGGACUAGUGUAUGAUAUUGAGGUUGAGGAUUACAUUAACUAUCUCUGUGCAUUGAACUACACAAGCCAGCAGAUCCAAAUCAUCACAGGAACAUCGAAUUUUAGUUGCAAAUAUGCAAGUUUGGAUCUUAAUUAUCCUUCUUUCAUUGUCAUCUUGAACAAGACUAAUUCAACUACCUCUACCUUCAGGAGGGUGUUGCUGAAUGUGGCAGAUACAGCCUCCAUUUAUAACGCGGUGGUGGAAGCUCCCCCGGGCAUGAAAGUUGUCGUGCAACCAUCAACAGUCAACUUUCCGGGAAAAUAUAGCAAAGCAGUGUUUAACCUGACUGUGGAAAUCAAUUUGGAAGUUGACAGUGUUGCUUCACAGAGUGAUUAUUUUGGGAAUUAUGGAUUCUUGAGCUGGAACGAGGUUAAUGGAACGCAUGUGAUUAGAAGUCCCAUUGUCUCUGCAAUUGCAUCAGCCAAGAACCCCUAAGACCGGAGUCAUCGUCUUGAAUGACUCAAGUAGAGAAUCUCUUCUUGUUUCAGGACAGAUUAUCAUUAAAUUAGACCAAAUAAAAUGGAACCAAGACAUUUGAUGAUUAUUGCUUUAUUGAAAUUAAUCAUUUGUAAGAAAAAAAAAUCAAUUGAAUUCUCAAACUAUCUUGUUUGAUUUUUAUUUUUUUUGAAAAAAUAUAUAUUUUUUUAAAUUAAAAAUAAUUGCAUCUCAAUUUGGUAUUAUACCUUCAAACAUAUCUUGUAGCUUUUGUUGUAUUGAUGGAUAUUUAUGUAUCUUUGCAGGAAAUUUUGUAGCUGUGGGUUCAAUGGAACCUUCAAUUGAAAUAUGGGACCUUGACAUUGUAUGUGGAUAAUGGAUUUGACUCUCGUAAACUACUAGUUUCUUAAGUAUAUAAUUGAUAGAUUGUUGCAGAAUCUCUUACAAUUUCCCUGUUCUCAGAUUGAUGAAGUGCAACCAUCUGUAGUUUUAGGUGGUGUUGCUGAAGAGAAGAAGAAGAAAAAAAAAAGCAUAUUUAGAACAU
rnacentral:misc_RNA from 1 species